AAUAGGCCCAACUCUGAAGCAGCUUAUACCCAGAAGAAAUACUACAGGGCCCAAGUGGCUCCAAAACUAUGUUUACUCAAAAAAAUUAGCAUCUCUUCAUUCCUUUGCUCUCUUGUUCGAAUUAUGUAUUCCUGAGAACCCAACUUGUCCUUUCUCAAAGCAUCCUUGAGCUCAAGCGGUUGAUUCCAAAACCAGUAAGGGGAAAGCUUUCCAGUUUGAGCAAGUUUUGCCAGAGUGUGAGCACUGUUGUUACCAGAUCUUGGUGUCCAGCUGUAGGUUGUCAGAUUCGAAAUCAUCCUUUGUGAAACCCAGAUUGAUCGCUGCAACAGUCGCUUCCCUGAGGGCAAAGGCUUCUGCAGUGAUUGGUUUGGUAGAGAAGAUGCGUUUCGCAGCACCCCAGUUUCCAGAUCUGGAGAAGCCCAGCCAUUAUUGCAUUGACUGACUUUACACAGCUCCACUACAGUUGCAGUUUGUCUUCACAUGAAAUGCAUUAACUGUUUUUCAUCUUUUAAAAACCUUCAAGUGUUUUUGUCUAUUGCUUGUUGGCUUCCAAGAUUACAAUUGCUGAACUGGCCUUGAUUUUUUUUUUUUGAUUUGUUUAGUCUAUCUUUAUGGCCUUGUAUGGUUCAGUUUCUUUGUUGUAUUUGCUUGGGCCUUGGCCCGUUUAAAUCAAUGAAUUUGAUUAUUGACCAAAAAAAAAAUUAUCAUCUAUCGACCAAAAAUAAUUAUUUAGCAUC